AUUUGUAGGUGUUCCUCGAAGGCAUCGGAGUUGAUAUCAAAAGGAAAGGCAUUAUGGAUGUGACCUCCAUAAAGUUGCAGAACUUGAUCCAUUGCAUCGCCAUUGUCUACAAUAACAAUUACCACGGAGAUUAUGAGAUCAAAUAACCACAAUCAAGGUGCAUCAAUAUUGAGAUCAAAAGGAAGCACUUGAGGGCCAGGUGCAUCAAUAUUGAGAUCAAAAGGAAGCACAUGGUUGUCACCUCCCUGGACAUCACCUCCAAGUUGAUCCUCCUCCUGACCAAGAUAGAUUUCAACUUCAGCAAUUUCAUCAUUGAGGUCAGGCAAAGCCUAUUCAUCUGCCUCAUCUAUUGGCUUGUUUAGAUCAAGAGCCAUGGAGGUGAUUUUGAAGACUCAUGCAGUGAUUCAGUGGGAGGGAAACCUGCUAUUGAGGUUCAUUUCAAACUUAUAUAGGGUUGUUGUAGUGGUGUGUGCUGAAAUUUGUAAUGCUUGCCGCCAAUGAAGCAAUGCUGAGUUUCAAAAUAUUUGGCGCACUGGUUGCUGUGUAUUAUUUGUAUAUUGAGCACUUAAUGGCAGCAUCAGAAAUAUGCUUAUCCAA